UACGUAGGGUGCAAGCGUUAAUCGGAAUUACUGGGCGUAAAGCGUACGCAGGCGGCUUUGCAAGACAGGUGUGAAAUCCCCGGGCCUAACCUGGGAACUGCAUUUGUGACUGCAUGGCUAGAGUUUGUCAGAGGGGGGUGGAAUUCCACGUGUAGCAGUGAAAUGCGUAGAUAUGUGGAGGAACACCGAUGGCGAAGGCAGCCCCGUGGGCCAACACUGACGCUCAGGCACGAAAGCGUGGGGAGCAAACAGG
rnacentral:rRNA from 1 species